GAGACAAGGGCCCAGGCCCUACGGGGCGCAGCAGUCGCGAAAACUUUGCAAUACACGAAAGUGUGACAAGGCUAUCCCGAGUGCCAUCCGCUGAGGAAGGCUUUUACCCAGUAUAAAUAGCUGGGAGAAUAAGGAGAGGGCAAGUCUGGUGUCAGCCGCCGCGGUAAUACCAGCUCUCCGAGUAGUGUGGAUGUUUAUUGGGCCUAAAGCAUCCGUAGCUUGCUAAGCAAGUCCCCUGUUAAAUCCACCGAUUUAAUCGUUGGAUUGCGGGGGAUACUGUUUGGCUAGGGGACGGGAGAGGCCGACGGUAUUUCCGGGGUAGGGGUGAAAUCCUAUAAUCCCGGGAAGACCACCAGUGGCGAAGGCUGUCGGCUAGAACGCGCCCGACGGUGAGGGAUGAAAGCUGGGGGAGCGAACCGGAUUAGAUACCCGGGUAGUCCCAGCUGUAAACGAUGCAGGCUAGGUGUUUGGGCGGCCAAGAGCCGCUCUAGUGCCGCAGGGAAGCUGUUAAGCCUGCCGCCUGGGGAGUACGGCCGCAAGGCUGAAACUUAAAGGAAUUGGCGGGGGAGCACCACAAGGGGUGAAGCUUGCGGUUUAAUUG
rnacentral:rRNA from 1 species